ACUUAAAUUGAAGAGUUUGAUCAUGGCUCAGAUUGAACGCUGGCGGCAGGCCUAACACAUGCAAGUCGAGCGGAAACGGCAGCAUUGAAGCUUCGGUGGAUUUGCUGGACGUCGAGCGGCGGACGGGUGAGUAACGGCUGGGAACCUGCCCUGACG
rnacentral:rRNA from 1 species